rnacentral:rRNA from 1 species
UACGGGGGGAGCAAGCGUUGUUCGGAUUUACUGGGCGUAAAGGGCGCGUAGGCGGCUCGGUAAGUAGGGGGUGAAAUCCUGCGGCUCAACCGCAGGGCUGCCUUCUAAACUGUCGAGCUCGAGCACGGUAGAGGCAGAUGGAAUUCCCGGUGUAGCGGUGGAAUGCGUAGAGAUCGGGAAGAACAUCAGUGGCGAAGGCGGUCUGCUGGGCUGUUGCUGACGCUGAGGCGCGACAGCGUGGGGAGCAAACAGG